rnacentral:rRNA from 1 species
GUAUGAGGUACCCAUCGACCUCUGGUAGUGAUUGGUGCUUGCAUCAUGACUUACAUUUGAGUGAGUGGCGAACUGGUGAGUAACACGUGGGAAACCUGCCCAGAAGCGGGGGAUAACACCUGGAAACAGAUGCUAAUACCGCAUAACAACUUGGACCGCAUGGUCCGAGUUUGAAAGAUGGCUUCGGCUAUCACUUUUGGAUGGUCCCGCGGCGUAUUAGCUAGAUGGUGGGGUAACGGCUCACCAUGGCAAUGAUACGUAGCCGACCUGAGAGGGUAAUCGGCCACAUUGGGACUGAGACACGGCCCAAACUCCUACGGGAGGCAGCAGUAGGGAAUCUUCCACAAUGGACGAAAGUCUGAUGGAGCAACGCCGCGUGAGUGAAGAAGGGUUUCGGCUCGUAAAACUCUGUUGUUAAAGAAGAACAUAUCUGAGAGUAACUGUUCAGGUAUUGACGGUAUUUAACCAGAAAGCCACGGCUAACUACGUGCCAGCAGCCGCGGUAAUACGUAGGUGGCAAGCGUUGUCCGGAUUUAUUGGGCGUAAAGCGAGCGCAGGCGGUUUUUUAAGUCUGAUGUGAAAGCCUUCGGCUCAACCGAAGAAGUGCAUCGGAAACUGGGAAACUUGAGUGCAGAAGAGGACAGUGGAACUCCAUGUGUAGCGGUGAAAUGCGUAGAUAUAUGGAAGAACACCAGUGGCGAAGGCGGCUGUCUGGUCUGUAACUGACGCUGAGGCUCGAAAGUAUGGGUAGCAAACAGGAUUAGAUACCCUGGUAGUCCAUACCGUAAACGAUGAAUGCUAAGUGUUGGAGGGUUUCCGCCCUUCAGUGCUGCAGCUAACGCAUUAAGCAUUCCGCCUGGGGAGUACGGCCGCAAGGCUGAAACUCAAAGGAAUUGACGGGGGCCCGCACAAGCGGUGGAGCAUGUGGUUUAAUUCGAAGCUACGCGAAGAACCUUACCAGGUCUUGACAUACUAUGCAAAUCUAAGAGAUUAGACGUUCCCUUCGGGGACAUGGAUACAGGUGGUGCAUGGUUGUCGUCAGCUCGUGUCGUGAGAUGUUGGGUUAAGUCCCGCAACGAGCGCAACCCUUAUUAUCAGUUGCCAGCAUUAAGUUGGGCACUCUGGUGAGACUGCCGGUGACAAACCGGAGGAAGGUGGGGAUGACGUCAAAUCAUCAUGCCCCUUAUGACCUGGGCUACACACGUGCUACAAUGGAUGGUACAACGAGUUGCGAACUCGCGAGAGUAAGCUAAUCUCUUAAAGCCAUUCUCAGUUCGGAUUGUAGGCUGCAACUCGCCUACAUGAAGUCGGAAUCGCUAGUAAUCGCGGAUCAGCAUGCCGCGGUGAAUACGUUCCCGGGCCUUGUACACACCGCCCGUCACACCAUGAGAGUUUGUAACACCCAAAGUGCGGUGGGGUACACUCUACAGAGGUACCAACCUACG